rnacentral:rRNA from 1 species
UACGGAGGGUGCAAGCGUUAAUCGGAAUUACUGGGCGUAAAGCGCACGCAGGCGGUUGGAUAAGUUAGAUGUGAAAGACCCGGGCUCAACCUGGGAAUUGCAUUUAAAACUGUCCGGCUAGAGUCUUGUAGAGGGGGGUAGAAUUCCAGGUGUAGCGGUGAAAUGCGUAGAGAUCUGGAGGAAUACCGGUGGCGAAGGCGGGCCCCGGGACAAAGACUGACUAUCAGGUGCGAAAGCGUGGGGAGCAAACAGG